rnacentral:rRNA from 1 species
CCUACGGGUUGCAGCAGUGGGGAAUAUUGGGCAAUGGGCGCAAGCCUGACCCAGCGACGCCGCGUGAGGGAAGAAGGCCCUCGGGUCGUAAACCUCUGUCAGGAGGGAAGAAGUGGGUACCGGUUAACAGCUGGUGCCUUUGACGGUACCUCCAAGGAAGCACCGGCCAACUCCGUGCCAGCAGCCGCGGUAAUACGGAGGGUGCAAGCGUUAUUCGGAAUCACUGGGCGUAAAGCGCGCGUAGGCGGCCUCGUAAGUCAGAUGUGAAAGCCCUCGGCUCAACCGAGGAAUAGCAUUUGAAACUGCGGAGCUAGAGUUCGGGAGAGGGUGGCGGAAUUCCAGGUGUAGGAGUGAAAUCCGUAGAUAUCUGGAGGAACACCGGAGGCGAAGGCGGCCACCUGGACCGAAACUGACGCUGAGGUGCGAAAGCGUGGGUAGCAAACAGGAUUAGAUACCCUAGUAGUC